AUUGAACGCUGGCGGCAUGCUUUACACAUGCGAGUCGAACGGCAGCGCGGGGCAACCUGGCGGCGAGUGGCGAACGGGUGAGUAAUAUAUCGGAACGUACCCAGAAGUGGGGGAUAACGUAGCGAAAGUUACGCUAAUACCGCAUACGAUCUACGGAUGAAAGUAGGGGACCGCAAGGCCUUAUGCUUUUGGAGCGGCCGAUAUCUGAUUAGCUAGUUGGUGAGGUAAAGGCUCACCAAGGCGACGAUCAGUAGCUGGUCUGAGAGGACGACCAGCCACACUGGAACUGGGACACGGUCCAGACUCCUACGGGAGGCAGCAGUGGGGAAUUUUGGACAAUGGGCGCAAGCCUGAUCCAGCAAUGCCGCGUGAGUGAAGAAGGCCUUCGGGUUGUAAAGCUCUUUUGUCAGGGAAGAAACGGUAGAGGCUAAUAUCCUUUGCUAAUGACGGUACCUGAAGAAUAAGCACCGGCUAACUACGUG
rnacentral:rRNA from 1 species